rnacentral:rRNA from 1 species
CGCGGUAAUACGUAGGUGGCAAGCGUUGUCCGGGUUUACUGGGCGUAAAGGAUGUGUAGGCGGAUACUUAAGUGAGAUGUGAAAGCCCCGGGCUUAACCUGGGGACUGCAUUUCAAACUGGGUAUCUAGAGUGCAGGAGAGGAAAGCGGAAUUCCUAGUGUAGCGGUGAAAUGCGUAGAGAUUAGGAAGAACAUCAGUGGCGAAGGCGGCUUUCUGGACUGUAACUGACGCUGAGGCAUGAAAGCGUGGGGAGCAAACAGGAUUAGAUACCCUGGUAGUCCACGCCGUAAACGAUGAGUACUAGGUGUAGGAGGUAUCGACUCCUUCUGUGCCGCAGUUAACACAAUAAGUACUCCGCCUGGGAAGUACGGUCGCAAGAUUAAAACUCAAAGGAAUUGACGGGGGCCCGCACAAGCAGCGGAGCAUGUGGUUUAAUUCGAAGCAACGCGAAGAACCUUACCUAGACUUGACAUCUCCUGAAUAGCGUAGAGAUACGUGAAGCCCUUCGGAGCAGGAAGACAGGUGGUGCAUGGUUGUCGUCAGCUCAUGUCGUGAGAUGUUGGGUUAAGUCCCGCAACGAGCGCAACCCUUAUCAUUAGUUGCUACCAUUAAGUUGAGCACUCUAGUGAGACUGCCCGGGUUAACCGGGAGGAAGGCGGGGAUGACGUCAAAUCAUCAUGCCCCUUAUGUCUAGGGCUACACACGUGCUACAAUGGUGAGAACAACGAGAUGCAAUACCGCGAGGUGGAGCCAAACUUGAAAACUCAUCCCAGUUCGGAUUGCAGGCUGAAAUUCGCCUGCAUGAAGUUGGAGUUGCUAGUAAUCGCGAAUCAGAAUGUCGCGGUGAAUACGUUCCCGGGCCUUGUACACACCGCCCGUCACACCAUGAGAGCUGGUAACACCCGAAGU